rnacentral:rRNA from 1 species
GAUGAACGCUAGCGGCAGGCCUAAUACAUGCAAGCCGAACGGCAAGUUGAGUAGCAAUACUUGACCUAGAGUGGCGUAAGGGUGCGUAACACGUAUGCAAUCUACCCGCAACAGGAGGAUAGCUCUCCGAAAGGGGAAUUAAGCCUCCAUGGGAUCAUGGGGUGGCAUCACUCCAUGAUUAAACUACCAGGGGUUGUGGAUGGGCAUGCGCANGAUUAGUUAGUUGGCGGGGUAAC